AUAAAGUAAGCUAAACAUUAAAGCUAGUGGGUUCAUACCCCAAAAAUGAAAUUAUUUCCUUUAUU
rnacentral:tRNA from 1 species